AAACAUCAUUAACAACGUCUUUGAUUUGCUACAGAUGAAGAAGCACAGGAAGCGGUACAUAAAUUGCUGCAUGACCAGCCAAAAACCUUCUUCUUCAAUGGAAUAAGCAAGUUUGUUGACUGCUGGAAGAAGUGCAUCAAAAAACAAGGAGACUAUGUCGAGAAAUAUACUUUUGUUUUUAUAAAUUACAGAAACACGUGUGUGUAAUUUUUGACUUAACCUUGUAUAUAUAUAUAUAUAAUGAGCUUCCAUGCAGUUUCCAUCAACUAAUUCCAGUCACAUGAAAUUGAUUAGUCUGAGACAGUAGUAGAAGACACUUGCCCAUGUGCUACAAAGUGGGACUGAACAUAAAGCCAUAUGGUUGUGAAGCAAACUGCUUAACCAUACAGCCAUGCUUGUCUCCAUCUCAUCAAAAUAGUAAUUUCUUGUUCCUUGCCAGCCAUAGCCUGGGUUAAAUAGCAAGUGCUCAUAGAAGUGUUGUAUUUCUUGCUUUGACAGGUGCUAUUCACCUAUAACCUUUUUAAAGCCAUCCAAUUCUGAUAAACUGAGAUAGCUAGGUAAAGUUAGUUUGGCUGAUUUUGGUUCAUUGCUGAAAAGAAAAUGAAAAGGAAAAUACUGUUGAGGAAAGAGUUUGAGAAAUAGGGAGUUUGAGAACCAGAAACAUUGGGUCAAGUGUUUUGUAUGAUAGUUUAAAAAGUCAAUGUAGUGAGGCCAAUAAAAGGUGAGACAGUUUAAGUGAGUCUAAGUGAAUGGACAGCAGCUAGAGAAUCAAACUGAAGGAAUAUCAGCUAUUAAGAAAACCUUUAAAUACCUUUGUUUGUGAGGAAUAGCAACCAAAUCAAACUCACUUUAAACAUGGAAUGACAUAUUGGAUAAAGUAGUUCUAGAUAUGUUUCAAAGAUGUGAUGGUCAUGGUUAGAAUGUUUUUUUGCUUAGUCAACAUUGAUCUGAGGCUAAACAAUGAUUUUAAGUUGACAGUUAUCAGUGUUUUUAUUGAGGGUUUCCUUAUUUGCUGGCCAUCUCGUUUGGUUGUUG